UACGUAGGGGGCGAGCGUUAUCCGGAAUUAUUGGGCGUAAAGCGUACGUAGGUGGUUUGUUAAGCGAGGGGUGAAAGCCUGCGGCUCAACCGCAGCGAGCCUUUCGAACUGGCAGACUUGAGUGCAGGAGGGGAAAGUGGAAUUCCUGGUGUAGCGGUGAAAUGCGUAGAUAUCAGGAGGAACACCGGUGGCGAAGGCGACUUUCUGGACUGUAACUGACACUGAGGUACGAAAGCGUGGGGAGCAAACA
rnacentral:rRNA from 1 species